GAUGAACGCUGGCGGCGUGCUUAACACAUGCAAGUCGAACGAUGAAGCCCAGCUUGCUGGGUGGAUUAGUGGCGAACGGGUGAGUAACACGUGAGUAACCUGCCCUUGACUCUGGGAUAAGCCUGGGAAACUGGGUCUAAUACUGGAUAUGACUUCUCAUCGCAUGGUGGGGGGUGGAAAGAUUUAUUGGUCUUGGAUGGACUCGCGGCCUAUCAGCUUGUUGGUGAGGUAAUGGCUCACCAAGGCGACGACGGGUAGCCGGCCUGAGAGGGUGACCGGCCACACGGGGACUGAGAACCGGCCCGGGCCCCUACGGGGGGGAGGGGGGGGGAAUAUUGAGCAAGGGGCGCAAGCCUGAUGCAGCGACCCCGCGGGGGGGAUGGCGGCCUUCGGGUUGUAAACCUCUUUCAGUAGGGAAGAAGCGGGAGGGACGGUACCGGCAGAAGAAGCGCCGGCUAACUACGU
rnacentral:rRNA from 1 species